CACGCGAGUGCAGUACAGUAAAGUUAAGUUAAGAACCAAGGCAAGGCACACCGAGAAGUGGUUGUAGUAUUUUAAUUAACAAUUGAGUAUGUUCUGCGCUGUCUAUUAGCAACUAAGUCGAUAAAAAAAUGUAUGCGAAGUUUGUUAGUAACUUCAAGUGUUGAUGUGAAAAGGAUAUUAAGUGCCGAGCUAGAGAUACACAAAACUUCUAAGCAAACAAAUCAGUUUAUUAAUAAACAAUUUUCAGAAUCCAAGCUUAGGCGAAAUUCAAAUGUUGUUGAUUACAUGAAACACAGUUUAUUUAACAAUUAGUGUAUGAGAACCUGAAAAUAAACUAAACGAAACAAAUGCUGAAUUAAAAAAAAAACAAAAAAUAUGCGCGCAAAUUAAAAAAAAAGGUUAUAAACCAGUGCGAUUUUAAGAGAAACGCAAAAAAAACUUUAUUGCAUUAUUGAGCAAGCGUUGUUGGAGAUUUAUUCGUUGCACCCAGCUAAAUCGAAAGGAAUCAGUCGAAAGCCUCUGUACGUUUCUAGAUGUGUGAUGUGUAUGUGCCAAUUACGUCCGUAGUUUAUUGAACGAUCGCGUCAAUCCCGUUUCGAAAUAUUCAUUGAAGCCACGGUUAGUCUGCAGCUACUUUGACGUAUCUCCCUUUUUGUUUUUGUUUUGGUAUUAAAUUGCAAGUUUAUCGUACAAACGCAAAAAUUAAAGGCGCUGGGAAUUAAGGCAACAACGCGUCCACUGACAUCUGCAGAAAUUUGAAACCAGUUAGUGAUAAAACGCCGAAUACCAAUUGCCAAUGACAGCAGCUGUUAAAGCGCAAAGCAAUUCAGACUAGAAAGCAGAAGUUUAAUUU